rnacentral:rRNA from 1 species
UGCCAGCCGCCGCGGUAAGACGGAGGGUGCUAGCGUUGUUCGGAUUUACUGGGCGUAAAGGGCGCGUAGGCGGCUUUGUAAGUCGGGUGUGAAAGCCCGGGGCUCAACCCCGGAACGGCACUCGAGACUGUGAGGCUGGAGAUCGGAAGAGGAGAGUGGAAUACCCAGUGUAGAGGUGAAAUUCGUAGAUAUUGGGUGGAACACCGGUGGCGAAAGCGGCUCUCUGGGCCGAUAUUGACGCUGAGGCGCGAAGGCGUGGGUAGCGAACGGGAUUAGAUA